UGUUUUUAAUCCAAGGCUGGAGAUUGUGUUUUGUCCUCUCCUUUUGUCUUCUGAAACACGACAGAGAGAAGAGAGAAGAGAGAAGAUAGAUGAGAGAUUGCAGGAGGAGGAAGAAGGGACCGGCCUGAGUUCGUCGCCAUCGUCACCAGUCUGAGUUCGUCGCCAUCGUCAGGAGUCUGAUUUCGUCGCCAUCGUCACCUGUCUUUACUCAUCGUAACUUUGUUCUUCCGGAAUCUGUACUCCUCCUGAGAACGCCUCUCUCCCCUCUGCAGAGCCGAAUCCGAACCCAACCACCUGAGCUCAUGGUUCAAUCUCCUCCUCAAAGCCCUCGCGCUACUCAAUCUCCUCUCGUGUUUGCUCCUCCGGUUCUCUCUCUCUCUCUCUCUCUCUCUCUCUCCAGAUUCACUUUCCCAAAACAACAGAUCUGAGCUCGAACCUUUUUGUUGUUUACCGAUUCUCCUCCGGUCAAUUAGAAUGAAUCUUCGGAUGCUUUGACUGAUCCAUCCGGUCAAACGGUCUCUAUCUCUAUUUCCUUGUGCAGAGAAGGAGAAAAUCGUUUCUUCUUCUUCUUCAGCUUAUCUGAAACAAGACAUGUUUCUUCUUCUCAAUCCUCGGGGCGAAGAUGAUUUCACCAAAACCCAUCUCCAGCAAGUGCUCAAGUUGUAUAGUAAAGAGCUACCAGACAAGAACUACGCUUCAAACACUCGGAAGCAAUCUACUUUCCUUGAGAGAUGUGUCUCUAAACGGUGCUUUAGCUGUUAGCUCUGAUGAUCGUUACUUGGCGACUAGAGGAGUUGAUCGCCAUGUUCAUAUAUGGGACGUUCAUACCAGAGAACAUGUCCAUGUUCAUAUAAAGUCCAAUUUUUGUUUUGUGGUUUCUUCCGUCAAGUCUCAGCUUUUUAUGAUUAUGUGUCUACAGGCCUUUACAGGUCACAGGAACACUAUUUCUUCCCUAUGAUUCAGACACGGAACCGCGGAGCUCUACUCUGGUUCAUUUGAUCGAAGUGUCAAGGAGUGCACUUACGGUUGGGAGAGAUACAAUCAUGCAGUUACACAAGGAGAAGGCUCCCUAUGUAGCUAAGGCUAAUGAGUCGCAAGGUUGAGUGUGAGAAGACGAGAAACUCCGAGUUGCCCGAGUCAUUCACAAGAAGAAGAGGAGGAGAAGAAGAAGAAGAAGAAAAAACUUCGGUGUUGCCUAAGAAUGACGGCUGUGGCUGCAGUCUAGUGUUUACGGUUUAGACUUUUGGUUAAGUUUUGGUUUAGGUUUUAGUUAUUUUUUAAUAAUGCUACAAUAUCAAAUAUUAUCUGCUAUUAUAAAUUAUACAAUUGCACAA